rnacentral:rRNA from 1 species
AGAUUGAACGCUGGCGGCAUGCUUUACACAUGCAAGUCGAGCGGCAGCGCGGGGCAACCUGGCGGCGAGCGGCGAACGGGUGAGUAAAAGAUAGGAACGUAUCCGGGAGUGGGGGAUAACUAGCCGAAAGGUUAGCUAAUACCGCAUAUUCUCCGAGGAGGAAAGCGGGGGACUCGAAAGGGCCUCGCGCUCGCGGAGUGGCCUAUCUCCGAUUAGCUAGUUGGUGAGGUAAAGGCUCACCAAGGCGACGAUCGGUAGCUGGUCUGAGAGGAUGAUCAGCCACACUGGGACUGAGACACGGCCCAGACUCCUACGGGAGGCAGCAGUGGGGAAUUUGGACAAUGGGGGCAACCCUGAUCCAGCCAUGCCGCGUGCGGAAGAAGGCCUUCGGGUGUAACCGUCUUUAUUCGAAGAAGGAGUGGAGUUAAUACUUCAUGACAGACGUACCGGAGUACGAAUAAGACACCGGACUAACGUACGUGUCUAGCAGCCGCGGUAAUC